GAUUGAACGCUGGCGGCAUGCCUUACACAUGCAAGUCGAACGGCAGCACGGGUGCUUGCACCUGGUGGCGAGUGGCGAACGGGUGAGUAAUACAUCGGAACAUGUCCUGUAGUGGGGGAUAGCCCGGCGAAAGCCGGAUUAAUACCGCAUACGAUCUACGGAUGAAAGCGGGGGACCUUCGGGCCUCGCGCUAUAGGGUUGGCCGAUGGCUGAUUAGCUAGUUGGUGGGGUAAAGGCCUACCAAGGCGACGAUCAGUAGCUGGUCUGAGAGGACGACCAGCCACACUGGGACUGAGACACGGCCCAGACUCCGACGGGAGGCAGCAGUGGGGAAUUUUGGACAAUGGGCGAAAGCCUGAUCCAGCAAUGCCGCGUGUGUGAAGAAGGCCUUCGGGUUGUAAAGCACUUUUGUCCGGAAAGAAAUCCUUGGCUCUAAUACAGUCGGGGGAUGACGGUACCGGAAGAAUAAGCACCGGCUAACUACGUGCCAGCAGCCGCGGUAAUACGUAGGGUGCGAGCGUUAAUCGGAAUUACUGGGCGUAAAGCGUGCGCAGGCGGUUUGCUAAGACCGAUGUGAAAUCCCCGGGCUCAACCUGGGAACUGCAUUGGUGACUGGCAGGCUAGAGUAUGGCAGAGGGGGGGUAGAAUUCCACGUGUAGCAGUGAAAUGCGUAGAGAUGUGGAGGAAUACCGAUGGCGAAGGCAGCCCCCUGGGCCAAUACUGACGCUCAUGCACGAAAGCGUGGGGAGCAAACAGGAUUAGAUACCCUGGUAGUCCACGCCCUAAACGAUGUCAACUAGUUGUUGGGGAUUCAUUUCCUUAGUAACGUAGCUAACGCGUGAAGUUGACCGCCUGGGGAGUACGGUCGCAAGAUUAAAACUCAAAGGAAUUGACGGGGACCCGCACAAGCGGUGGAUGAUGUGGAUUAAUUCGAUGCAACGCGAAAAACCUUACCUACCCUUGACAUGGUCGGAAUCCCGCUGAGAGGUGGGAGUGCUCGAAAGAGAACCGGCGCACAGGUGCUGCAUGGCUGUCGUCAGCUCGUGUCGUGAGAUGUUGGGUUAAGUCCCGCAACGAGCGCAACCCUUGUCCUUAGUUGCUACGCAAGAGCACUCUAAGGAGACUGCCGGUGACAAACCGGAGGAAGGUGGGGAUGACGUCAAGUCCUCAUGGCCCUUAUGGGUAGGGCUUCACACGUCAUACAAUGGUCGGAACAGAGGGUUGCCAACCCGCGAGGGGGAGCUAAUCCCAGAAAACCGAUCGUAGUCCGGAUUGCACUCUGCAACUCGAGUGCAUGAAGCUGGAAUCGCUAGUAAUCGCGGAUCAGCAUGCCGCGGUGAAUACGUUCCCGGGUCUUGUACACACCGCC
rnacentral:rRNA from 1 species